rnacentral:lncRNA from 1 species
UUUAGAGAAAAUCUGCAGACCCGUGAGGACUAUGGUUCACCUGACCAGGAAGGCUUCUUCAACCUGCUGAGCCACGUGCAGGGCGAUCGGAUGGAGGAACAGCGCUGUUCCUUGCAAGCUGAGCCAGGCCAGACCCCAGAAAGCCAGGGUGGCCCUGCUCCAGAGAUGGACAACCUCAUGGAUAUGCUGGCCAACACCCAGGGCCGCCGCAUGGAUGACCAGCGUGUAACAGUCAAUUCCCUGCCUGGCUUCCAACCUAUUGGUCCCAAGGAUGGAAUGCAGAAACGACCCGGGACACUCAGCCCUCAACCCCUGCUCAGCCCGCAGGACCCUGCUGCUCUCAGCUUCCGCAGGAACAGUAGCCCCCAGCCCCAGACACAAGCUCCCUGAGAGUUCCAGCCACCCUGGGCCUCCCACUGGCCCCUGAAAGUAAUAAAAUACUUGGCACUAGC